UUGUUCGAAAAAACCGUUUGUCCGAAUGGUCGUUUGUCCGAAAAUUUCAUACAAACGACCAUUUGGACAAACGGUUUUCGGACAAACG
rnacentral:pre_miRNA from 1 species